AUUGAACGCUGGCGGCAGGCCUAACACAUGCAAGUCGAACGAGUGGCGGACGGGUGAGUAAUGUCUGGGAAACUGCCUGAUGGAGGGGGAUAACUACUGGAAACGGUAGCUAAUACCGCAUACCAUCGGAUGUGCCCAGUUGGGAUUAGCAAGUAGGUGGGGUAAAGGCGCACCUGGGCGACGAUCCCGAUAUGGGCUGAGAGGAUGACCGGCCACACUGGAACGGAGACAGUGUCCAGAAUCCUACGGGAGGCAGCAUUGGGGAAUAUUGCACAAUGGGCGCAAGCCUGAUGCAGCCAUGCCGCGUGUAUGAAGAAGGCCUUCGGGUUGUAAAGUACUUUCAGCGGGGAGGCGUUACCCGCAGAAGAAGCACCGGCUAACUCCGUGCCAGCAGCCGCGGUAAUUC
rnacentral:rRNA from 1 species